AGAUUGAACGCUGGCGGCACGCUUUACACAUGCAAGUCGAACGGUAACAGGCCGCAAGGUGCUGACGAGUGGCGAACGGGUGAGUAAUGCAUCGGAACGUGCCCAGUCGUGGGGGAUAACGCAGCGAAAGCUGUGCUAAUACCGCAUACGAUCUAUGGAUGAAAGCGGGGGACCGAAAGGCCUCGCGCGAUUGGAGCGGCCGAUGUCAGAUUAGCUAGUUGGUGGGGUAAAGGCCCACCAAGGCGACGAUCUGUAGCUGGUCUGAGAGGACGACCAGCCACACUGGAACUGAGACACGGUCCAGACUCCUACGGGAGCAGCAGUGGGAAUUUUGGACAAGUGGGCGCAAGCCUGAUCCAGCAAUG
rnacentral:rRNA from 1 species